rnacentral:rRNA from 1 species
GAUGAACGCUAGCGGGAGGCUUAACACAUGCAAGUCGAGGGGCAUCACGAGGUAGCAAUACUUUGGUGGCGACCGGCGCACGGGUGAGUAACACGUAUGCAACCUUCCCUGUACAGGGGGAUAACCCGGAGAAAUUCGGACUAAUACCCCAUGAUGAUAUUUAUGGGCAUCCAUUAAUAUUUAAAGCUCUGGCGGUACAGGAUGGGCAUGCGCGACAUUAGCUAGUUGGUAAGGUAACGGCUUACCAAGGCCACGAUGUUUAGGGGACCUGAGAGGGUUGUCCCCCACACUGGUACUGAGACACGGACCAGACUCCUACGGGAGGCAGCAGCGAGGAAUAUUGGUCAAUGGGCGCAAGCCUGAACCAGCCAUCCCGCGUGAAGGAAGAAUGCGCUACGCGUUGUAAACUUCUUUUCCAGGGGGAGAAUAAUCCUGUCGUGACAGGACUUGACGGUACUCUGGGAAUAAGCAUCGGCUAACUCCGUG